rnacentral:rRNA from 1 species
AACGAACGCUGGCGGCAGGCUUCAUACAUGCAAGUCGAACGGUUAAAGCUCCUUCGGGAGUGUAUAAAGUGGCGAACGGGUGAGUAACAGGUGGGUAAUCUGCCUCUCAGUGGGGAAUAACAGCUGGAAACGGCUGCUAAUACCGCAUGCGAUUUUAGAGUCCUCGGGCUUUACAAGGAAAGGGCCAAUUGGUCCGCUGAGAGAUGAGCCCGCCCCCCAUUAGGUAGUUGGUGUGAUAAAAGCGCACCAAGCCGACGAUGGGUAGCCGGACUGAGAGGUUGGCCGGCCACACUGGAACUGAGACACGGUCCAGACACCUACGGGUGGCAGCAGUAGGGAAUAUUGCGCAAUGGGCGAAAGCCUGACGCAGCCAUGCCGCGUGGAUGAUGAAGGCCUUCGGGUCGUAAAGUCCUUUUAUCAGGGAAGAACAAGUGAAGGAGUGGAAAGCCUUCGCCCUGACGGUACCUGAUGAAUAAGCAACGGCUAACUCCGUG